rnacentral:pre_miRNA from 1 species
UACGGCUCCUCUAGCCGUGGUUGUCUAUCAAACUAGCCACUGCUUGAUGGGCCGAAGU